UCCACCAUCAACGCACCGAAUUUACACCACAUCGACCUCUUCAUCAGUGACUUCUCUCUCUAAUAAUACAAUUCUUCCAAUUCCACCAUCAACGCACCGAAUAGACACCACAUCGACCUCUUCAUUAGGGACUUCUCUCUAUAAUAAUACAAUUCUUCCAAUUCCACCAUCAACGCACCGAAU